rnacentral:sRNA from 1 species
UCUAUAUGAUGUCACAUCUUGAGGUGGU